AACGAACGCUGGCGGCGUGCCUAACACAUGCAAGUCGAACGAGAAAGUUUCCUUCGGGGAAUGAGUAAAGUGGCGCAAGGGUGAGUAACACGUGAAUAAUCUGCCUUCAAGACUGGGAUAACUUGACGAAAGUUAAGCUAAUACCGGAUAAGACCACGCUUCACAAGGAGUGCGGCCAAAGGGGUCUCAAACCCUGCUUGAAGAUGAGUUCGCGUACCAUUAGCUUGUUGGUGAGAUAACAGCUCACCAAGGCUACGAUGGUUAGCCGGCCUGAGAGGGUGAUCGGCCACACUGGAACUGAGACACGGUCCAGACUCCUACGGGAGGCAGCAGUGGGGAAUCUUGCGCAAUGGGCGAAAGCCUGACGCAGCAACGCCGCGUGAGCGAUGAAGGCCUUCGGGUCGUAAAGCUCUGUCAAGUGGGAAGAACACAAUGACGGUACCACUAGAGGAAGCCCCGGCUAACUUCGUG
rnacentral:rRNA from 1 species